AUAUGCUGCCACUCUUUGGUCAGGUAUACUUUUAACGUUAAGGACGUGCAUUGGUCACAGCCUCUGUAUCAGUAAGGGUAUCUAUGUUUCAAAAUUUUAACGUCUCCGAAAGCGCAAGGACAGUUCUUGUCGUCUGUCUUGUGUGUUGCACGAACUAAGCUGCUAUGUCUUCUUCCGAGUACCGUUGUUGUGGCCUUGCAGUUCUUACGGGAGGAAGAGGAAGGAACUAGGCUGCUGUACUGUGUCUGCUUGCGGCUAGCUCAGAUGGUCUACCAGACCUACUGCCCCUGCACGAACUAGAACACCACCAGGACCGGCGGCAGGAGGAACUAGGAGGGGUGGUAGAACCCGUACGACAUGUCGUGGUGGAGGAGGUCGAGGAAGUAGGGCGGGUCGCGGAGGCCCUCGUAGAGGUAGAACCGCGUGGCGUCGUCGCAGUCGGCCCGGUCGCGGCGGUAGCUGGGCCGCGAGUGGCGGGUGAGGAGGUCCAGGCCGUCGGGGUCGGAGUCGAAGACGUCCGACGCCUUGCGCGGCAGGGGCUUGAGGUCGGCGAGCGGGAGCAUGCGCGGGGUGUAGUCGCAAUCGAGGCGGUCCGAGCCGUCGAGCGGGUCGUACAGGUGCUUGGGGACGGGGUGGUAGCACGGGGUGUAGCUGUCGGCGCAGUCCAAGCCGGCCUACAUGGCCUGGCGGUGGAGCAGCCGCGGUAGUCGUAGUAGGAGGAGGAGGUACCGGGGGUGGUCGGAGUCCGAGACGUCGGCGGCGUCCGAGCGCUGCCACUUGUGCCGGCCGCCGUCGCUGAGCGGGACGUCGUGGUCCACGUGGUCGUCCAGGUCCGAGAGGUCGCGGCAGUGGUCGCAAGGCCGCAAGCGCCGGCAGUCGGGCGAGUCGAGGUCGCUGGCCUCCAACCACCGGGAGGGGUCGCCCAACGGCCGCUGCCGCGCGCACAGGGUCGGCGCGCCGACGUGCGGCACCUCGCAGACCUCCGACAUGUCCAGCGGGUCCGUGGACCCGUCGCGCUUGCCGCGGUGGUGCACGGCGUCGCAGCCCUAGCAGGUCUUGCGCCGCCAGUGCGGGUCGUGCGGCGGCGAGGCCGGGAACUCCUAGUCGCUGACGUCCAAGUGGUCGAACGAAUAGCACGAGCCGUCGGAGAGGUCGACGGGCGUGACCUCCGGGUCCAUGGAAUACACCUAGUAGCUCGGCUCGAGCAGACCUUCGAAGAACUCGAGCUCCGGUACCUACAGCUACUGCGCCUCCUUGAACCUGCGCACCUCCUUCGGGUCCAGCCACCUCACCUACGUCUGCGACCCGAAGCGCCGUGGCGGCGACCGCUUCAGCGUCUGCUACCACGCCUCGAACCCGUCGCGCAACGGCUCCACCUGCACGGACAGGCACCACAAGACCUGCCGCUCCGCCGCGUGCCACCGGCCCCGCUCGUGCAGCCACGACAGCACCGAGAGCUGCUUCGUGCGGAGGACUCGGAGAAGGACGCGCUUUCGCACCUCCGCCAGCACGUGGUGGUGGCGGCAGUGCCACCGCUUGAGCAGGAACAGGUGGUCGACGUGGUACGUGGCCCUCUACUCGAGGAACUCCAUGGGGACGGGCUGGAGGAGGUACCACGAGGGCGCGGCGCCGGCGUGCUUGGGGAGCCGGUGGGUGUCGGCGUGGUCGGAGCGGCGCAGGUGCCCCCGCGAGAGGCCGUAGCGGCGCUUCAUCUCCUUCGUGCUGAACUCCACCACGCCGUCCAGCAGCUUGCGGUCGCUGUACUACGCGGCCCGUGGCGGCGAGGGCGAGAACGUUACGACGCCGACCAGGAACCGGCGGUCGUCGACGCGGUAGUGGACCAGGGUGAGGCGUCCGUCGAGGAACCUGGCCUCGUGCGGCCGCUCCUGCUGCUGCCUCUCGCCGUCCGGCGCCCACUAGGCCUUGUGCAGGACCAUCAUGGAACUGAACAUCGCCGGCCCCGUCAGCGGCGCCUCCGGCUUGUGGGCCGCGGCCUUGUCAAGCAUGCACAAGAGGCCCGACUCGGCGCACUCGAGCUACCCCAGCAUGCAGCCGGGCGGCCGCAUGUGGUGGGACGACGGCAACGGGAGCAGCCCCUCGCUGCGUGCCUCCGACAAGGUCAGCCGCUGCCGCUACGACGGCAGGUGCUGCUGUUCCAUGGCGGACGGCCAGUACAAGGCCUUGUCGCUCAACGACUACAGGAACGGCGGGAACCGCAGCGUCGGCGGCAGGAGGCGCGAGACCGGCAACCUGCCCCUGGCCGCCUCGACCCUCCACCGGACGGCCACCUACAGCGCCUCGUGCAGCCGCCCCGCCGACAACCCUCCCUCGUGCCAGGUCCACGCAUACCGCUUCACCAACGCCUGGAG
rnacentral:rRNA from 1 species